rnacentral:lncRNA from 1 species
UUUUUUGUUUUUGGUAGAAUUGUUGAUUAGGAGAGUGGUUCAAACUUCAAAGCUUGCUGAUAUCAAGUGAUUUAUGGAAUCAAUAAAGCAAUGAUACUCCUUACACCCACUAAUCAAUUCAAUUGCAUUGAUACAAGUCAGAAGAGGACGAUGCAGUCUAUAGAUGCAAUGGAUCUGUUCAUAUUCAACUUCAUCUCAUCAUGUGGGUCUGAACUAGCAACCAUAACUAAUUCCAUCUGGCCAUUCUGGAUCUAAUGCUUGUUCUUUUCCCUUUAACACUGCCUUGAUUUUAUGCCACGCAUAAUUGUAUAUUGCAUUGCUAAUCCAUUGAGAUCCCAUUUGCACUAUUUAGCUGCAUACAGAUGAUAAGGUACGUAUCAUUGGUUAGCUAGAGAUUUGAUUUAAGAAUUUAUAUUAUGUGUAUUGAAAAGGUGUAAUUUC